ensembl:lncRNA
UUUUUUUUUUUUUUUUUUUCAGAGGGAGGAAGAUAUUAAGCCCAUUGUUUUACUAAGCAACCAGAGGCUUUGAGUGUAGUACACAGAACUGCAGGAACCUCAAAGAAAAUUGAAGCUUUCAGUAGAAAGAGUUUUGCUAAGAGCUUUGUGUCACAGCAAACAAUUUACCUGAUACAAACUGAUAUAUCUCCAAAUUACAUAACUGAGGUUUCCAUAUGAUACAUUUGCAACAUAUCUCCUGGAAUACAUGACCCAGUAGAUUUUUGCACUAUAAAUUAGUUUAGAUGCUCUGGAUCUUUUCAAACCUCUAGAGCUGAGGGCGUGGGAGCUGUUUAGUUUGGAGAAGAGGCAGCUGAGGGACCUUGUCACUCUGUACAGCUACCUGAAAGGAGUUGCACAAGGAGGAUGUCAGUAAUGUUUCACAGGUGAGACAAGGAAAUAAUAUCAAGGUUUUGUUUGGACACUGGGAAGAAUUUCUACACAGAAAGGAUGGCCAAGCACUGCAGCAGACUACUCAUGGAAGUGGUGGAGUCCCCACCCCUGGAGGUAUUUAAGAGCUGUGUGGAAGUGGCAUUAAGGGACACAGUUCAGUUAUUGGAACUUGACAGGUCAGGUUGAUGGCCAGACUUCAUGAUCUUAAAGGUCUUUUCCAACGUAGACGAUUCUAUGAAAUUACAAACUACCCUCCUGACAGAGGGUAUCAGAGAGGGAUGCUAGGCCAUCUCAUCCUUUUAUCCCUCUUCUCCCAGGCAUGCUGGCAGAUACAGUGCUUAUGCUGUUGAUACUGCACUGAGUACUGGCAGCUGCUAAGUCACACAUGUGGAAUUUGUUACAGGGCAGUGUAUGUUUUACAGAGAAAGUCCAGGCAAGGCUUUUGUUUAAACUUCCUCCACAACUUCUAAGCAGUAUCAGUCUGUCUACCUUAUCUCCAAUAUCUCCUUUGCCUUAGCCUCUAAAAAGCUGUAUCUCCAUGUUAUGUUUUCACUGUAUUAAGGCAGUGACUGUAACAAAUGAACAUACCUUAGCAAGUUUGGGCAUGUUUUUCAGUUAAUAAGCUGGAAAUACAUCAAGGCAGAAUUUCAUUAUCACAUUAUUUUUGUGCUUCCUUUCUUUUAGGCUUCUAGUACAGUAUGCCAAUGAAUCAUAUACUCAGUACCUGGGCCUUAGUGUCACUCUAAGUCAUUCUUCCUAAUUAAAAAUUGCUCAAAGAAGUUAUAAUAAGAACACUAUUUGUAAUGCUUUUUAUAAUCUGUUUGCCAGCAACUAAGCUAUUUUUGUAUUUCACUGUUGCCCUAUAGGAGAAAAAAAAAAAAAAAAGCACGUAUUUUGUCUCAUCAACCUAGAUUCUCUCUUAGGUACAUGACAGACUAGAUACCUGAAGACAGAUGGUAAAGUUUUAACAAAACCCACGAGCACGUAUCUGGCCAGAAAUAACCUCCUUGUAUUUCCAGCUGGGUAUGUCCAAGAUUUUGCCUCUCACAUGAAGGAGAUCUAGACACAUUGCCGAGGGUGAAGAAAUGCCUCUGUCCUCUCAAGAAGAAGACUGUAGGAUAACCUUUUCAGGACAGAUAAAGAAUAUUUCCCUUUUAAAAGCCAAUCAGAAGUUUUCUUCCAAAUAUCACAUAUAAGGCUAAUCUCUGACCAAGGGACUCAAACCCUCAAUUCUCCAGUGCAUACCUUUCAACUAAGGACUUCAAAUAUUAUGCCAUCAACUAGUGAAAGAAAAAAGCAAAUUCCAUUGCACAAAGAUGCCCAACAAGGCCAGCUAGACCAGAAAGAAAAGGUAAACGGAUAUAGCUGUAACUUAGCAAUAGGAGAACUCAGACAAUGUGUUGAUACUGAAUAUCUUUACCUCAUUAAACUGACGACAGACAGAUUGCUUAUUUGGAUGACAAAUACAGAGCUGUGAAACUCCUUAAAUAAAGUGUUAUUAACUGCUUACUACAUCACAGAAGUCAUUUCCACAUUGUAGUAAAAUGUGUGAGGUGGUUAAGUGUUCUGCUAGUUAGGCAAUGGAAGCUUAAGACACAUAGAAGCUGAGUGAGCUUCAAACUACUCAAGUAAGAAAAAGUGAUCAACAAGGUUGAACACAUCAUCGUUAGGGCAUCUAAGUGGAGUGUUUUAAAAUUGCAAUUAUUUCCCAAUCAAAAUCAUCUUCAUUUACACCUAUUUUAGAAAAAGAGAAAUGUUUUUUUGAUUAGUUGUUUUAACUCCACCCUAAGCAAUACCACUGCUUAAUUCUUGGGAGGGCAGCUAUUUACAAGAUAGCAAGGGAUUUUGUUUAUGUGAUACAUAUUUUAGAUUUGUUUCUGAACAUUCAGAGUUGCUUUUUACACUCAUUUGAAGUAUUAAGUGCAUCAGAAAUACUACACAUUGAUGUAUAAAAACAAGCCUUAAUAGAGAAUGAUUUCUGUAAAGAGAACUGUAGUAGAAAGUCAUUUAGUUAAAAACAAAAUCUGUCAGUUGUACAUUUAUCCACUCCUUUCUGAUGGCAUUAAUAAUAGAAUAUGGGUAAAGAAAAAGCUUUAAUAAAGCACAAAAAAAGCUUUAAAAUAUUCAAAGCAUAUUUCUUUAAUGAAAAUUGAGUAGUUCCUUGAUUCAGAUACAUGCAUGUUCCACUAAUCCUGUAAAGAUUCUUUCCAAAGACUGUAAAAUAUAUCCUAGAAGGAGGUGAAUGAUUUCAAAAACUGGGAAGCAACGAUUACAACUUGACAGAAAAUUUGAAAUCAUCAGCCAGUCAGUUCUACUUAUAAAGUAAUGUCAUGACAUAUUAUAGUAGGAAGGUUCAUCACAUUUUCAUCAUUUGAAGCGCUAAUGCAGAAUCAGUAAGUACCUAGAUGGGGACCAAAAAACGUGCAGUAAUUAAUGUACUAUAGUAUGUGUGCAUUGAUUUUUACAGGGGAUAUAUUUUAGUGGUAAUAAUGUCUGGCACCUGACUACAAAUCAAUAAAAGACACUACUCUGCUAUUUUAAAAAGAAAACGAGGAAAGCAAUCUUUUAUUUAACUAGUACCAUUAGAAUUCCACAUCCCAGUUUCGUUACUGUUUUGUUUGCUGUUAUUUUAAAUAAGAUUCUCAAUCCAAACUAAUUUUGCCAAGUGAACACACAGUCUCUAUACUUUUUUUCAGUGUAGUGUAGUUCUUUUCAGAAUUACACUGUCAAAUUUAGAGAAGCAAAACACCAACGUCAGAGGAAAAUGAGAUCAAGUCUUCUCCAUGCAAAUAUACUUAAAGAUUAAUAUUUGCCAUCACAGUUCAAAUACCACAACAUUAUGCUUUGCUUUCUUUCACUGCUUUCUCUUAGAAUUGUUAAACAAGAGGUAUUAGUUUAAAUAGUUUCAGACCAAUAGCACGUCAAGGGAGGUGAUCCUGCCCCUCUACUCUGCUCUCAUGAGACCCCACCUGCAGUACCACAUCCAGCUCUUGGGCCCCCACCAAAAGAAAGACAUUGAGCUGUUGGAGUGGGUCCAGAGGAGGGCCACAAAGAUGAUCAGAAGACUGGAGCACCUCCCCUGCAAGGACAGGCUGAGAGAGCUGGGGCUCUUCAGCCUGGAGAAGAGAAGGCUCUGGGGGGACCCUAUAGUGGCCUUCCAGUACCUGAAGGGGGCCUACAGGAAAGCUGAGGAGGGACUUUUUAUAAAGGCAGGUAGCAACAAGACAAGGGGAAAUAGUUUAAAACUGGAAGAGGGUAGAUUUAGAUUAGAUAUUAGGAAGAAAUUCUUUACUAUGAGGGUGGUGAGACACUGGAACAGGUUGCCCAGAGGUUGUGGAUGCCCCCUCUCUGGAAGCAUUCAAGGCCAGGCUGGACAAGGCUUUGAGCAACCUGGUCUAGUGAGAGGUAUGAUUCUAUGAUAAUAUGUGAAUGGAAGAUUAGCAAAAGACUGGAUGAGUUUCCAGAAAAACUGUAAUUGAAUAUUUGUUGUGAUUGAAUCUGGCAGGCAGAUAAGCAUCAAACAGCCAUCUACUCACUCUCUUGGCUCCAGUGGGAUAGGGAAGAGAAAGGGGGGGGG